GGCCUACGGGGCGCAGCAGUGGGGGAUAUUGCACAAUGGGGGGAACCCUGAUGCAGCGACGCCGCGUGGGUGAAGAAGCGCCUCGGCGCGUAAAGCCCUGUCAGCAGGGAAGAAAAUGACGGUACCUGAAGAAGAAGCCCCGGCUAACUACGUGCCAGCAGCCGCGGUAAUACGUAGGGGGCAAGCGUUAUCCGGAUUUACUGGGUGUCAAGGGAGCGUAGACGGCUGCGCAAGUCAGAAGUGAAAGCCCGGGGCUCAACCGCGGGACUGCUUUUGAAACUGUGUAGCUAGAGCG
rnacentral:rRNA from 1 species